CCCCACAGAGCCCCUCCCAAGAAGGGGAAGGGACCCAGAAUGCUUGGUCAUAGUGCCCUGGACUGCAUGGACUUUUCAGCAGCCCCUCACUGACUUGGGGCAAUUUUCCCCUGCCCUCACACUUCUGUGGAAGUAGGACCUUUGGACUUGUAAACAAUUCAUCAUUCUUCCAUGCUCCAAAGCUAGGACUUCACCAGGGAUUUGUGUCAUCCUGGGAUUGUAAAGAUGGGGUUCUAAUCUCAGUUGUCAAAGAAUAGGCUUUUAAGUUUUCUGAAGGGAAACCGGUGAUUUCCCUCACAGCUGGUAGAAGGGUGGGACCAUUGAAGUUGUCAGGGCCAUUGUUAUUGUUGCUGUUUCCACAAGUGCAUUCAUUGACUGUAGUCAAUCUGUUUUUCCUUGAAGUUUUGUGAAAUGGUGUCUACUCCAGAGAUAAGUCGCUGGGCUGGGCCAAUCAUUGAUGUUCUCCUGGAUUAUGUGGGUAAUGUGCAGCUCUGUUCCCGGCUCAAGGAGCAUAUUGACAGCUAUGAGGACUGGGCUGUCAUUAAAGAAAAAGCAGAACCUCCGCGACCUCUUUCCCAUCUUUGCCGCAUCAAGGUACGAAGCCUGGUUGGAAGAAAUCGCAUUAAGCUUCUUGACACCUUGCCUCUCCCAGACAGACUGAUCCGAUACUUACAGCACGAUUACAGACAGUGACCCCAGGCACGAUGGAUAUGCAGUGGCUUUCCAGCAUGGCACCCAGCAUCACCAGCAUGGCAAGGGCCCACAGCGGGGAGGAAUUGCUGCUGGCUUGGUCAAGCACCCUCCAAUGACUAAUCUAAGAGAAAUAUGCUUUUGAAGCGUGAGUGAGAAGAAAAUGGAGGAGACAGAGCUAAAGAUAGGACUGUUGUUAGGUUUUUCAAGAGCAAACACAUAUGAUUCACCUCUGCGCUUGUUCUGUAAAGAACAAGAAAUGAAAGCUGACACUGACAAAUGAGUCGUACCAAUAUUUGGAGAGGAAUACAAAGGUAUCCAAGGGUUGUGGUGAAUCUUAGCAUCCUUGCUGUGAUGACAAUUAACAAAUUGUUGAGAGUCAACAUAUUUGGGAAGACAAUCACAUUUCCUUCACUGACUGAGAUUUUUAUUGUAUUUUCUAUUCUAUUGUUUGGAUUUCUGCUAAGUGUGCGGGUUGCUAAUUCUCUGAUACUUUUACACCACCUUGCUAACACUUUUACUUUCUUUUUUUGUAUCUUUCUUAUUGAGUAGAGUACUUGAUUUCUGAACAUUCAAAUCUCAGAUUUCUUUAACAGACUAAAAUCCAGAAAUGAUGAAUCCUUUAAAAAUCAAGGAAAGGUUUAUUUAAGGAGGAAGUAAGAACUGUAUUUGCACAUAGUGAAUGGAGUUCAUUCUGUAUUACAUUUGCAAUGUCAUUCUGCUUUCUGUCAUUCUGAGAGAAUUUCCUAGACUGGGGAUUUGAAAGUAAAUCUGAGCUCUUUUUUUUUCUUUUCUUGGUGUAAAUUAGAAGUAGCUGCACUGUAAACAGUAGGUUUACACUGUCAUGAAUCUGGUGUCAGAACAAAACAAAGCCCUAGAGGACAGGGAACAGAGUGGUGUGAAGGAGAAAGGCAACACUAUUACACAAACUUAAUCUGUUCCUCCCCUAGAAGAUCUUAUCUCUAAAAAACCCAGCCUUUCCUAACUCCUUGGACCUCUGUGGCUACAGCAAUACUAUCAAUGGAAGAAAGAGAAAUUAUUUCAAAAUUAUGAAAGUCAGACUUCAAAAUUCAUGAAAAUGAAUAUCCAGAAUUAGGCUUCCAAAUCCUUAUUCAGGUGCCUAAACAAUGUCAAGUUGCUUGCACUAGGUGUAGUUCCACUGAAGCCAGGCGGAUCACAUUUAGUGUCAUCUAUUAGUGAGGUAGACUAAAAACCUUGGGAUUUAGCCCUGAAUUUUCUGACUUUGGAAGUCUGAAAUAUCUAUUAGCUCCCUUUGAAACUGAUAAAAGUUAUUAUCUUAGCUUCUUUGAAAAUUAGGUCACCUAUUUACAGCUCAGAUCCUCAACUGAUUUAUGGCAGCUUAACAAGUUACCAUCUAUCUGCUGAACAACUAUAAUUGUCCGUGAAAUUCUUUUAUUGAAGUUUUUAACAAGUCACAUUCCCUCACAGCUGGGGAGGCCAAGGAGCCCAUGAGUGGUUAUUGGCAGUGACUACAGCUCAGCUGACAGGUGUGACUUGCUGAACUGCUUUGAUGAGUGCUUCAUUCCUGAAUAGGCACCUAAGAAAGUAUGAAAGAACUGAAAUUUUGGAAUGAUGUCUAUGCAGAUCUUAUGCUAGAAGCACACUCAUUCUUUCCUUAGGUGAUAAAGGAGCUGUGCAUCAUGGUCUGCUUGGAGUCCCCCCCAGACAUGGCAGAUCUGGUUUUAUUUGUUGGUCUACAUACCAUGCAUGGAAUCAGAUAGAAAUGUAAGUAGGGAAAAUGCAUUGCACUGACUUUUAUUUGUGUGGAGUUUUAAACCUUAACACAGGACUAAAGUGUGUUGCACACAUACAGGUCUGUCUGGGCACACAAGUUCAGAUUUUGUGAUGACUUUGUGCAAAAUGUGCUCAGCACUUGUGGGACAGGAUGAGAGCAAACCUAAAUUGGUUACAGCUACAGCAUUCUGUCACAGCUGUCCCCUACCUGGAUGCGAAAGUUGAACAACCCACAGAGUUUCAAUUCACACUGAACGAUGAUCUUCUUGCAAAGCUUUGGAAAGUCAGGUGAGAUUCCUCCACUGGUGAUGUUUCAUCCAGUGACUUCCUUUACUGUCAGUUUAGGAUCUACCUCCUUGUCUCCUCCAGUGUGAACAGGGAAUUUCAUCAGGUUAGAAAAAUACUGGGUGGAGAGAAAAGGAUGGGGUACAGAAAAUCUCUAGACCAGUUUUGCCAGUGGAGGCCCUGUAUUGGUAAGCAGUACUUUGAGAGACAGAAAAUCACCUGUGGAGUUCAUCCAUCUCUCACUUUCUGAGGCUGAAUAGCGAAGGCCUGGGUCCUACUUACGUUGAUAUAAAUCAGAAGAAAAGUCCCUGAAAUUAAAUAAGUGUAACAAAGCAGAGUUGUAGAGGGUGAUGGAUACAAACACAGCUUGCUGGAGACCACUUUAGUGUUUGUUUGGUGUGCGGUGACAGCACUGGAGACCCUGGCUGAGAGAAAGGAUUCACAAUCACCAACUGCAGGUAUAACCAGAGAAGUGGGAUUUCAUAAGCUAUCCCAAAAUGGGAAUUUCCCCUGAGCCAACACUGUUGUGUCCACAACAGUCUAGCAAGCUGCAAUUUCUUUUUAUGUCCUUGGAGAAGUUGAAACUAGGUUUGAAUGGCACAAAUAUGGAAAGCCCAUUUUUCUUUCAACCAAGAGCCCUUCAUUUCUAUUGGGAGACCCAAGUCCUGGUUUGCUGUCAACCAUCUGUCCUGAGCAGGAGUCACUAAGCUGGAGAACACUGGUCUGAUGGGAAUAUAACACAAUUGUGGGAAGGAUAAGUGCAUGCUGUGCACAGAAACUGAGGUGAGAAGAGUCUAUUAGAGGGGGAAUCUGGUAAUUACAAUGUUAUUGAGUCCUUUCUGCUUGAUCGUUACAGCAAAACUUCACAUACUCAGUUUACAACUAUUUGCACUGAAAUGGAGCCUGCUACCUCUCCGCUCCAGUCACUGACAUACUAUUUUGUGCAAAAUACUGAAUCUGCACAAAUUCAAUGUGCCUUUAAUGCAUCUGCUUAGAAGUUACUGUGAAAAGAAAAAUAGCCCAAAACCCAACCAAACCAGGCUUUAUAAGCAGAUCAGUAGUUCUAGUGCAAAGUAAAGUGGCUUGUUUUUACUGAGUGUGAUAAAUAUUCUCCUUCCAAGACAAUGAAUUUAUGUGAAAUGUUCUAGGAAUAUUUCACGACCAGGUUACUGUACUUUUUUUACUGCAAAAUGUGCAAUUCACUUGAUGUUCUUGUGCACUUUUUUUGAUUUUUUUUUAAUUUCAUUUUGUAUGAAAGCUUUUUCAUUUACCUCUCCCUUCCCAUUAUUUAUAAAAGCUAUUGUGGUUUUAAAAGUUUAAAUUUGCAUUGUUUUUGUAAAUAGCAGCUCUCAAAUGUUAUGUUUCCAUCUUUCAAACAAAGUAUGAAUAAACAAGUAGAUUCUGAAGA